AGUGAACGCUGGCGGUAUGCCUAACACAUGCAAGUCGAACGGCAGCACAGUAAGAGCUUGCUCUUACGGGUGGCGAGUGGCGGACGGGUGAGGAAUACAUCGGAAUCUACUUUUUCGUGGGGGAUAACGUAGGGAAACUUACGCUAAUACCGCAUACGACCUACGGGUGAAAUCAGGGGAUCUUCGGACCUUGCGCGAUUGAAUGAGCCGAUGUCGGAUUAGCUAGUUGGCGGGGUAAAGGCCCACCAAGGCGACGAUCCGUAGCUGGUCUGAGAGGAUGAUCAGCCACACUGGAACUGAGACACGGUCCAGACUCCUACGGGAGGCAGCAGUGGGGAAUAUUGGACAAUGGGCGCAAGCCUGAUCCAGCCAUACCGCGUGGGUGAAGAAGGCCUUCGGGUUGUAAAGCCCUUUUGUUGGGAAAGAAAAGCAGCAGGUUAAUACCCCGCUGUUCUGACGGUACCCAAAGAAUAAGCACCGGCUAACUUCGUG
rnacentral:rRNA from 1 species